GCAGGUUAUUAUGUUGAUGUUGAUAAACAGACAGGAGGAUCCAAAAGAAGGACAUCUGAGCAAUGCAUAAGGUGGGAUUCACUAUGACAAUCACCUGCUGCAAAAAAUAGGUGGCCUUCAUCUUAUGCAUAACCUGAUGUGUCAUACAUAUGACGUGAACGGGGUUUCAUCUGAAGUUCACAUGCAACUGGUUGUAGGUGAUCAUUCAUACUAGUUUUGAAUUGAAUUGAUUGUAAUGAUGGUUGUCUUUGAAUAAUCCCAG